GAUCCUGGCUCAGGAUGAACGCUAGCUACAGGCUUAACACAUGCAAGGUCGAGGGGAAACGAUAUUGGAAGCUUGCUUCCGAUAGGCGUCGACCGGCGCACGGGUGAGUAACGCGUAUCCAACCUGCCCACCACUUGGGGAUAACCUUGCGAAAGUAAGACUAAUACCCAAUGACGUCUCUAGAAGACAUCUGAAAGAGAUUAAAGAUUUAUCGGUGAUGGAUGGGGAUGCGUCUGAUUAGCUUGUUGGCGGGGUAACGGCCCACCAAGGCGACGAUCAGUAGGGGUUCUGAGAGGAAGGUCCCCCACAUUGGAACUGAGACACGGUCCAAACUCCUACGGGAGGCAGCAGUGAGGAAUAUUGGUCAAUGGACGAGAGUCUGAACCAGCCAAGUAGCGUGCAGGAUGACGGCCCUAUGGGUUGUAAACUGCUUUUAUAAGGGAAUAAAGUGGGAGUCGUGACUCUUUUUGCAUGUACCUUAUGAAUAAGGACCGGCUAAUUCCGUG
rnacentral:rRNA from 1 species